UGAACUGCGAAUACAUUUACAGCUAUUUCGUUGCCAUCCAAAAAUUCUACAAACGUUAUCCAACAGGAAACUGAUGAAUUUUAGAGGAGUGCCCACUUACAAAGCCUUUCUCCUAAAAUUAAGUGGUGUUAAUAGUAAUAAUAUUACACAGUUUCUCACAGAUCAUCCACCAAGUCCUUCUUUGGUGGGAAAGGCAGAUGCUUUACAAGAAAUAUUGUUGCAUUUGAAAAUCCAGAUGAUCUUGACUAGUCAGACUGAGACGAAUUAA
rnacentral:lncRNA from 1 species